rnacentral:rRNA from 1 species
AGACCCGAAACCCGGUGAUCUAGCCAUGGGCAGGUUGAAGGUUGGGUAACACUAACUGGAGGACCGAACCGACUAAUGUUGAAAAAUUAGCGGAUGACCUGUGGCUGGGGGUGAAAGGCCAAUCAAACCGGGAGAUAGCUGGUUCUCCCCGAAAGCUAUUUAGGUAGCGCCUCGUGAAUUCAUCUCCGGGGGUAGAGCACUGUUUCGGCCAGGGGGCCAUCCCGGCUUACCAAUCCGAUGCAAACUGCGAAUACCGGAGAAUGUUAUCACGGGAGACACACGGCGGGUGCUAACGUCCGUCGUGAAGAGGGAAACAACCCAGACCGCCAGCUAAGGUCCCAAAGUCAUGGUUAAGUGGGAAACGAUGUGGGAAGGCCCAGACAGCCAGGAUGUUGGCUUAGAAGCAGCCAUCAUUUAAAGAAAGCGUAAUAGCUCACUGGUCGAGUCGGCCUGCGCGGAAGAUGUAACGGGGCUAAACCAUGCACCGAAGCUGCGGCAGCGACACUGAUGUGUUGUUGGGUAGGGGAGCGUUCUGUAAGCCGUUGAAGGUGGCCUGUGAGGGUUGCUGGAGGUAUCAGAAGUGCGAAUGCUGACAUAAGUAACGAUAAAGCGGGUGAAAAGCCCGCUCGCCGGAAGACCAAGGGUUCCUGUCCAACGUUAAUCGGGGCAGGGUGAGUCGACCCCUAAGGCGAGGCCGAAAGGCGUAGUCGAUGGGAAACGGGUUAAUAUUCCCGUACUUGGUGUUACUGCGAAGGGGGGACGGAGAAGGC